rnacentral:rRNA from 1 species
GGCGGCGUGCUUAACACAUGCAAGUCGAACGGAGGUUAUUUUGAAACUUAGUGAUAGAUAACCUUAGUGGCGGACGGGUGAGUAACGCGUGGAUAACCUGCCUACAUGGCCUGGGACAACACCGGGAAACUGGUGCUAAUACCGGAUACGCUCUUGUAUGCACAUGCAUAUAAGAGGAAAGGAGCAAUCCGCAUAUAGAUGGGUCCGCGUCCCAUUAGCUAGUUGGAGGUGUGAGAGACCCCCAAGGCGACGAUGGGUAGCCGGCCUGAGAGGGUGGACGGCCACACUGGAACUGAGACACGGUCCAGACUCCUACGGGAGGCAGCAGUGGGGAAUCUUCCGCAAUGGGCGAAAAAGCCUGACGGAGCAACGCCGCGUGAGUGAAGAAGGCCUUCGGGUCGUAAAACUCUGUCUUCAGGGAAGUAAAAAAUGACGGUACCUGAGGAGGAAGCCCCGGCUAACUACGUGCCAGCCGCGGC